GCGCUCGCUUCGGCAGCACAUACACUAAAAUUGAAACGAUACAGAGAAGAUGAGCACGGCCCCUGCGCAAGGACGACACGCAAAUUUGUGAAGCGUUCCAGCUGUAA
ensembl:snRNA U6 U6 spliceosomal RNA